rnacentral:rRNA from 1 species
GCAGUAGCCACGGUAAUACGUAGGUCCCGAGCGUUGUCCGGAUUUAUUGGGCGUAAAGCGAGCGCAGGCGGUUUGAUAAGUCUGAAGUUAAAGGCUGUGGCUCAACCAUAGUUCGCUUUGGAAACUGUCAAACUUGAGUGCAGAAGGGGAGAGUGGAAUUCCAUGUGUAGCGGUGAAAUGCGUAGAUAUAUGGAGGAACACCGGUGGCGAAAGCGGCUCUCUGGCUUGUAACUGACGCUGAGGCUCGAAAGCGUGGGGAGCAAACAGGAUUAGAUACCCGUGUAGUCCCUGUCUCUUAUACA